rnacentral:rRNA from 1 species
GACGAACGCUGGCGGCGUGCUUAACACAUGCAAGUCGAGCGGUAAGGCCCUUUCGGGGGUACACGAGCGGCGAACGGGUGAGUAACACGUGGGUGACCUGCCUUUAGCUCUGGGAUAAGCCUGGGAAACUGGGUCUAAUACCGGAUAUGACUCCGCGGUGCAUGCUGUGGGGUGGAAAGCCUUGUGCGGCUGGAGAUGGGCCCGCGGCCUAUCAGCUUGUUGGUGGGGUGAUGGCCUACCAAGGCGA